GAUGCCGUGCGAUGCGCUGUGCUCUCCACCACCGUCGGAUCCACCGCCCAUAUCGGAUUGGCCUUUUCCUCUUUUGCCUCCUCCUUUCUAUAUCGCGCUUCGAAAAUAAACCGUUUCUCGCUCUCCCUCCUCUCCCUCGAUUCCGCCACCCUCGUGUUCGAUCCCGGCGAGUAAGGUCCGCUCGCCGCACACUAUUAGCCCCCGCCGAGGCGCCGCCUUAUGGCCUCCUCGUCGGCCUUUCUUGCGCUCCGGAGCGCCUCCGAUUGGUGGGAUGAGGUGAACAACUCCAGCCUGUGGCAGGAUCGGAUCUUCCACGCCCUCUCCCUUCUCUUUGGACUCAUCUCCGUCGUCGCCCUCAUUCAAUUGGUUAGGAUCGAAUGUAGAGUACCCGAGUUUGGCUGGACGACGCAGAAGGUCUUCCACUUCUUGAACUUCCUCGUGAAUGGGGUUCGUUCUCUCGUCUUUGUGUUUCGUAGGGGCAUCCAGAAAAUAAACCCUGUGAUAAUUCAACAUAUUCUACUGGAUUUGCCUGGUCUUGCAUUCUUCACUACAUAUGCUCUGCUGGUUUUAUUUUGGGCUGAAAUCUAUUAUCAGGCACGUUCUGUGUCUACUGAUGGGCUUAGGCCAAGCUUCUACACAAUUAAUGCGGUGGUCUAUGUUAUUCAGAUCUCUCUUUGGUUAGUUUUGUGGUGGAAGCCAGUCCAAGCUAUGAUCAUUUUAUCCAAGUUAUUCUUUGCAGGUGUCUCGUUCUUUGCUGCCCUUGGUUUUCUUUUAUAUGGAGGGAGGCUUUUCUUAAUGUUGAAGCGCUUCCCUGUUGAAUCAAAAGGGCGACGUAAGAAGUUACAGGAGGUUGGCUAUGUUACGACCAUAUGUUUUCUAUGUUUCUCGUUGAGAUGCAUUAUGAUUUGCUUCAACACUUUUGACAAAGCUGCAGACCUUGAUGUUCUGGAUCAUCCAAUUCUGAACUUCAUAUACUACCUGUUUGUUGAAAUUUUGCCCUCAGCUCUAGUACUUUUCAUCUUAAGGAAAUUACCGCCUAAACGUGGGAUCACUCAAUACCAUCCAAUCCAUUGACUUGGGGUUCCUACUUUUGUUGUUGAUGUACUCACCAUAAACCAAUUAGUCUGCGAAGCCAUUUCAUGCUGAAGUUUACAGGGAAGAAAUCAACAAAACUGGCAUCCCGUGAUGAUGAUCAACAUGUUCAGGUACCAUGAAGUUGAACACCAGAAUGGCAAUUCUGUCUCCAUGAAACUAUGAUAAUACAUUAUGGUGGUCAGGAUCUUUGAAAUUUUCUUAUGUCAGGGAAAAGCCAAGAAUCCCAGCUAAAUGUUUAGAUUCUUGGACCAGGUUUUGACGAACCAUUAGCAAACGUUGCAACACCGAACACUCUUUGCUUUAACUAUCGAUUUUUUGGUGGUGUCCUUGUGACUAAUUAUUGCUAUCAAAAUUGAAAUAAAUGAGUGCUUCACACGAGGAACACUUUAUUUUGCCA